rnacentral:tRNA from 1 species
UUAGUUAAAGCCAAAAAGAGGCAUUUCAUUGUUAAUGAAAAAAAUGAUUUAUUAAUCUAACUAAA